rnacentral:rRNA from 1 species
GAUGAACGCUAGCGGCAGGCCUAACACAUGCAAGUCGAGGGGCAUCAUGGCGUAGCAAUACGCUGAUGGCGACCGGCGCACGGGUGCGUAACGCGUAUGGAACCUACCCACCGCAGGGGGAUAACCCGCCGAAAGGCGGACUAAUACCCCAUGGUUCCCCGACCCUGCCUGGGGUUGGGGGUAAAGCCUACGGGCGGCGGUGGAUGGCCCUGCGUGCCAUUAGCUGGCUGGUGGGGUAACGGCCCACCAGGGCGACGAUGGCUAGGGGGUCUGAGAGGACGAUCCCCCACACUGGUACUGAGACACGGACCAGACUCCUACGGGAGGCAGCAGUCGGGAAUCUUCCACAAUGGGCGAAAGCCUGAUGGAGCGACGCCGCGUGAGGGAAGAAGGUCUUCGGAUCGUAAACCUCUGUCCUCAGGGACGAUGAUGACGGUACCUGAGGAGGAAGCCACGGCUAACUACGUG